rnacentral:lncRNA from 1 species
GAUCUAUCUCAUAUGCUGAAAUUCAGAUUGUGAUCCGAUCACAUACCUAUUUCGUAAUCUUUUUCUUCGAAUCUAGAUCUGAAAGAGAAGAUAUUCUCUCUUAGCCAUACAAGUGUCUAGUCUCUAUGAGUAUCUACUCAGGAUUAGUCUGGAACAGUCCUCUAUAAUCCAAAUUUUGAUUCUUCCAAAAUUCAGCUUGCUGAAUCUGAACG